GUGCCAGCAGCCGCGGUAAUACGGAAGGUCCGGGCGUUAUCCGGAUUUAUUGGGUUUAAAGGGAGCGCAGGCGGGCGUUUAAGCGUGCUGUGAAAUGCCGCGGCUCAACCGUGGAAGUGCAGCGCGAACUGGAUGUCUUGAGUGAGUACGACGCGGACGGAAUUCGUGGUGUAGCGGUGAAAUGCUUAGAUAUCACGAAGAACCCCGAUUGCGAAGGCAGUCCGCGAGUCCUUUACUGACGCUAAAGCUCGAAGGUGCGGGUACCGAACAGGAUUAGAUACCCUGGUAGUCCGCACGGUAAACGAUGGAUGCCCGCUGUUGGCGAUACAGUGUCAGCGGCCAAGAGAAAUCGUUAAGCAUCCCACCUGGGGAGUACGCCGGCAACGGUGAAACUCAAAGGAAUUGACGGGGGCCCGCACAAGCGGAGGAACAUGUGGUUUAAUUCGAUGAUACGCGAGGAACCUUACCCGGGCUUGAACUGCAGCAGAACGAUUCAGAGAUGAUGAGGCCCUUCGGGGCUGCUGUGGAGGUGCUGCAUGGUUGUCGUCAGCUCGUGCCGUGAGGUGUCGGCUUAAGUGCCAUAACGAGCGCAACCCUUUUCGCCAGUUGCCAUCAGGUGAUGCUGGGCACUCCGGCGAUACUGCCACCGUAAGGUGUGAGGAAGGUGGGGAUGACGUCAAAUCAGCACGGCCCUUACGUCCGGGGCUACACACGUGUUACAAUGGGUGGUACAGAGAGUCGGUGCAUGGCAAUAUGCAUCCAAUCAAUAAAGCCAUCCUCAGUUCGGAUUGGGGUCUGCAACCCGACCCCAUGAAGCUGGAUUCGCUAGUAAUCGCGCAUCAGCCAUGGCGCGGUGAAUACGUUCCCGGGCCUUGUACACACCGCCCGU
rnacentral:rRNA from 1 species